rnacentral:rRNA from 1 species
GUAGGUGGCAAGCGUUGUCCGGAAUUAUUGGGCGUAAAGCGCGCGCAGGCGGCCCUUUAAGUCUGAUGUGAAAGCCCACGGCUCAACCGUGGAGGGUCAUUGGAAACUGGGGGACUUGAGUACAGAAGAGGAAAGCGGAAUUCCAAGUGUAGCGGUGAAAUGCGUAGAGAUUUGGAGGAACACCAGUGGCGAAGGCGGCUUUCUGGUCUGUAACUGACGCUGAGGCGCGAAAGCGUGGGGAGCAAACAGGGAUUAGAUACCCUGGUAGUCCACGCCGUAAACGAUGAGUGCUAAGUGUUAGGGGGUUUCCCGCCCCUUAGUGCUGCAGCUAACGCAUUAAGCACUCCGCCUGGGGAGUACGCCGCAAGGCUG